GGACUACUGGGGUUUCUAAUCCUGUUUGAUCCCCUUGCUCUCGCGCCUCAGCGUCAGGUACUAGCUAGAGAACCGCUUUCGCCACCGGUGUUCUUCCACAUAUCUACGCAUUUCACCGCUACACGUGGAAUUCCGUUCUCUCCGCCAACCCUCUAGAUCGGUAGUUUCAAAUGCAGCUCCGGAAUUGAGUUCCGGAAUUUCACAUCUGACUUACCUAUCCGCCUACGCGCCCUUUACGCCCAAUAAUUCCGAUUAAUGCUUGCACCCUCCGUAUUACCGCGGCUGCUGGCAC
rnacentral:rRNA from 1 species